AUGUUCUUAAAACUCUAUAGACUAAAACUGAACAAUAUGGAGAAGAUUAGCAUAGUCCCUGCACAAAGACGACAUGCAAAUUUAUGAAGUGUUCCAUAUUUAA
rnacentral:snRNA from 1 species